UACGAAGGGUGCAAACGUUGUUCGGAAUCAUUGGGCGUAAAGCGCACGUAGGCGGCCUUGCAAGUCGGAUGUGAAAUCCCACGGCUCAACCGUGGACGUGCAUCCGAAACUGCUCGGCUCGAGUAUGGAAGAGGGUCGCGGAAUUCCCGGUGUAGAGGUGAAAUUCGUAGAUAUCGGGAGGAACACCAGUGGCGAAGGCGGCGACCUGGGCCAAUACUGACGCUGAGGUGCGAAAGCGUGGGGAGCAAACAGG
rnacentral:rRNA from 1 species